AUGACUGAACAAUAUACAAAGCAGCCACGCGGUGAUGGACCAUUUGCGGUGCUCGAAAGGAUCAACGUUAAUGCUUACAAGAUCGAUCUUCCAGAAGAAUAUGGUGUUAUCCCAACCUUCAAUGUUUCCGAUCUUUCCCCAUACUUUGGGCCUUUAGAGUCGAGGACGACUUCUUCUCAAGAGGGGGAGCAUGAUGAGGACAUCCCAACCAUGGGCAACACAGCACCAAUCAUCAACGGUCCAAUCACAAGAAGUCGUGCAAUGCAAAUACAUGAUCAGGUGAACGCUAACUUAAGUAUAUCAUUUGACCUUGAAAACAUGGUUGUGCCUUCACCUCCUUUGUUGUUGGUUGAACUCAGCUGUGAUAUCAAAGAAGGCCAACCACAUUUCAGUCAGUGCAAAACAAUGUUUUAUGACGAAGGAACAAAGUUAGGAAUUCAUGAAGAAUGA
rnacentral:rRNA from 1 species